UGAGAGUUCAGAAGAGGCACUUCAGUGGUGCCUAUAAUGCCAUAUUUGGAUAAAGUACAUCUCCAGAGACAUACGAAAAUGCCAUCUCUUUCAUGCUUCUUCAGUGCCUUUCUAAACUAUUUAUAAAUAUUAAUCAUAAAAGAAGCCAAGGGUAUUUUUUAGAUCACCAAGAAAACAUUUUGUUAAGUCACAUAAAGUGUUAAGUCACAUAAAGUCUUCAUUCAUUCCAUUCUGUCAGUCAGAUGCUUUGAAGGGAUGAUUUGAGUUAUUAAAGAUACUUUCAAAGAUGUAUCACCUAAAAGUUCACUUCACAGUGAUCUUCUCUUUAGUAAUCUAAAAUGUUUAAAUAAUUUAUGUUUGUUCCUAUAAACCCAGUGGAGUGUGUUGACCAAUCCCACUAAUCAAGUAGACAGCUAAAGUUCUCAGUUAACAACUUGCUUCUACACACUUAAUUGCAUGAACUCUGAUAGAGCCAUGGUUUUGAUAAUUUGAAUAAGUACCUAUCUGAAAGAAUAAUAAGGUGUCUAUAAAA